CUUCAGCACUGUCGCAUGUCUGUUACGGCCCCAGGCCUCCUGGACAGAGUUUGCAGAGUGUGCAGAGCUGCUGUGCUGCAGCACUCCCGGGAUUGGCUGCCGACUCUCUCCUGGUUCCCUCCCCUCGAAGGCCGGAUUGGACGCCAACGCUCCCCCGGAGGGCCGGCCCUGAUGGACUGCUUGCCCAUAAAAGCCAGACAGUGUCAACCUGUCGGCGCGGCUGUGUGGUUGGUUAACACCAGUGCUCCAAGGGUGGCUUUGGACUGAGAAAGAAACUGUGUGAAUUGGAUGGUUAAAGCGCUAAAUGCUGACAUUGGAUACUGAGCUUUCUAGUUUGUCUGUGUGAGGUGAAAAGACUCUCUCAGUUAAAUUUGUGUUUCUUGAAUGAACCUUUGCUUUUGGGAUUAAU